UACAGAGAGUGCAAACGUUGUUCGGAAUCACUGGGCUUAAAGCGCACGUAGGCGGCAUCGUAAGUGUCGGGUGAAAUCCCACGGCUCACCCGUGGAACUGCCCGGCAGACUGCGAUGCUCGAGUGUGGUAGGGGAGAACGGAACUCCUGGUGGAGCGGUGAAAUGCGUAGAUAUCAGGAGGAACACCGGUGGCGAAGGCGGGUCUCUGGGCAACAACUGACGCUGAGGAGCGAAAGCGUGGGGAGCGAACAGG
rnacentral:rRNA from 1 species